rnacentral:rRNA from 1 species
GAUGAACGCUAGCUACAGGCUUAACACAUGCAAGUCGAGGGGAAACGCCAUCGAAAGCUUGCUUUUGAUGGGCGUCGACCGGCGCACGGGUGAGUAACGCGUAUCCAACCUGCCCACCACUUGGGGAUAACCUUGCGAAAGUAAGACUAAUACCCAAUGACGUCUCUAGAAGACAUCUGAAAGAGAUUAAAGAUUUAUCGGUGAUGGAUGGGGAUGCGUCUGAUUAGCUUGUUGGCGGGGUAACGGCCCACCAAGGCGACGAUCAGUAGGGGUUCUGAGAGGAAGGUCCCCCACAUUGGAACUGAGACACGGUCCAAACUCCUACGGGAGGCAGCAGUGAGGAAUAGUGGUCAAUGGACGAGAGUCUGAACCAGCCAAGUAGCGUGCAGGAUGACGGCCCUAUGGGUUGUAAACUGCUUUUAUAAGGGAAUAAAGUGAGUCUCGUGAGACUUUUUGCAUGUACCUUAUGAAUAAGGACCGGCUAAUUCCGUG